UGGGGAAUAUUGCACAAUGGGGGAAACCCUGAUGCAGCGACGCCGCGUGAGCGAAGAAGGCUUUCGAGUCGUAAAGCUCUGUCCUAUGAGAAGAUAAUGACGGUAUCAUAGGAGGAAGCCCUGGCUAAAUACGUGCCAGCAGCCGCGGUAAUACGUAUGGGGCGAGCGUUGUCCGGAAUUAUUGGGCGUAAAGGGUACGUAGGCGGUUUUUUAAGUCAGGUGUCAAAGCGUGGAGCUUAACUCCAUUAAGCACUUGAAACUGAAAGACUUGAGUGAAGGAGAGGAAAGUGGAAUUCCUAGUGUAGCGGUGAAAUGCGUAGAUAUUAGGAGGAAUACCGGUGGCGAAGGCGACUUUAUGGACUUUUACUGACGCUGAGGCGCGAAAGCGUGGGGAGCAAACAGG
rnacentral:rRNA from 1 species